UACGGGGGGGGGCAAGCGUUGUUCGGAAUUACUGGGCGUAAAGGCUCGUAGGCGGCCAACUAAGUCGGACGUGAAAUCCCCAGGCUUAACCUGGGAACUGCAUCCGAUACUGGAUGGCUUGAAUCCGGGAGAGGGAUGCAGAAUUCCAGGUGUAGCGGUGAAAUGCGUAGAUAUCUGGAGGAACACCGGUGGCGAAGGCGGCAUCCUGGACCAACACUGACGCUGAGUGAGCGAAAGCCAGGGGAGCAAACGGG
rnacentral:rRNA from 1 species